CUGGCAGAUGAUCGCUCGCUAACCGCGAGAGGAAAGUCCGGACACCAUAGGGCAAUCCGCCGUUUGUUAAAAACGGGCGCCAGCCGUCAAGGGUUGGCGAUGGACAGUGUCACAGAAAACAAACCGCCUGUAAAAGGGUAAGGGUGAAACGGUGGGGUAAGAGCCCACCGCGCGAAGGGCAACCGAUGCGGCACGAUAAACCCCGGAUGGUGCAAGGUCGAACAGGAAGCAAUGGCGGCCCGCCAUGUCGCAAGGCAGCUUCCGGGUAGACCGCAGUCGCAAGACCGCCGCAAGGCGAGAUAAAUGAUCGUCACCCGCAAGGGGACAGAAUCCGGCUUACCGCCAACCAU
rnacentral:RNase_P_RNA from 1 species